rnacentral:rRNA from 1 species
GAUGAACGCUGGCGGCGUGGAUAAGGCAUGCAAGUCGAACGCCCUAGUUUACUAGGGAGUGGCAAACGGGAGAGUAACACACUGGUAAUCUACCCCGGAGACGGGAAUAACUCGGUGAAAACCGAGCUAAUACCCGAUGUGAGUGAGUGUCACAAGACAUUUACUUAAAACUCCGGUGCUUCGGGAGGAGCCUAUGGCCUAUCAGCUUGUUGGUGGGGUAAUGGCCCACCAAGGCGACGAUCAGUAGCUGGUCUGAGAGGAUGAUCAGCCACAUUGGGACUGAGACACGGCCCAAACUCCUACGGGAGGCAGCAGUGGGGAAUAUUGGACAAUGGGCGCAAGCCUGAUCCAGCCAUGCCGCGUGAGUGAUGAAGGCCUUAGGGUUGUAAAGCUCUUUCGUCCGGGACGAUAAUGACGGUACCGGAAGAAGAAGCCCCGGCUAACUUCGUGCCAGCCGCCGCGGUAA